rnacentral:rRNA from 1 species
GUAGGUGGCAAGCGUUAUCCGGAAUUACUGGGCGUAAAGCGCACGCAGGCGGUCUUUUAAGUUUGACGUGAAAGCUCCCGGCUUAACUGGGAGAGGUCGUUGAAGACUGGAAGACUUGAGGCAAUGAGAGGGGUGUAGAAUUCCCGGUGUAGUGGUGGAAUGCGUAGAUAUCGGGGGGAAUACCAGUGGCGAAAGCGGCACCCUAGCGUUAGCCUGACGCUCAUGUGCGAAAGCGUGGGGAGCGAACGGGAUUAGAUACCCCGGUAGUCCACGCUGUAAACGAUGAACACUAGGUGUAGGUGAUGUGAAAGUUAUCUGUACCGAAGCCAACGCGUUAAGUGUUCCGCCUGGGGAGUACGGCCGCAAGGCUA